AGGACCUGCACCUCUACCUUAUGCAUGCCUUAGUGUAUGUCUUCCUGAUAAGGGACAAGGAGUUAAUGAUUUCUUUGGAGUCUUCCAGCAGAGUAGAUAACAUCAAAGGAGUGACCAGGCAAGAAUGAGCAGGUGAGGCCACAUGUGUGUAUUCUAGACCAUUGGCACUGGACAUCUGGGUGCCUAAACCCCCUGCCUCCAGGGAAUAAGUGACUUAUGAUGGAUACCUGGCCCCUGUCCUUGUUCUGACCAGUUCCUGGAUGCCUGAGAGGGCAUGGGCACCAGAGCACAAUUGUCAGUAAAAACCUCAUACUCCAAACAAAGACAAAACUUUCUCUCCUUUCCUUUCUGAGUGUCCCAGAUGCUCUGUCUGUAUCUGUCUGCACUCUAUGUCUUCAAUAAACUCUGCUUUUACUUCCUGCCUGCUCACUCAUGUUUGAUUUCUUUCUAUCCUGUGUGAAGCUGGGGAUCCUCUUGGCUGGUCCUGUGGAACCCCUCUGGGUCCUCAAACCUGGCCAGGCUGCAUCAUAAUUGGCUGUAUUAAUCAAUGCAUGAAUCAGAAAGCAUGCUCUCUAGCAAAUAGAGGGGAGCUCCUAGGAAUUGUACAAAAUAGAAGGUCUUUAUAAGAAGGUUGGGACAAGAAGUUAUUAGCAAAAGAAAAGAAAGGAUUGUUUCAGGCCAGGAAGUCUUUUGGGGGGAGAGGGGCAGAAACACAGGGUUUUCAUCCUACAGAUUACUGCAGUAGUGAUCAGGAGAUUUCAGAUUGACUCUUUAAAAGUCCUGUUCCUGGGAUAGAGUGAAACUAAUUGAGUCUUUCUUGGGUGUUGUGGAGGGCAAAUGACUCUAUUUUGGGCUUUUUUUUUUUUUAAACACCAUCAAUUUAGGACUGCAACCUGGGGUGGCCAGAUUCCUUUGAGGGAACUGAGUUUCCAUCACUGGCUCCUUGUCAUUAACCUAAAGGAAACCUGAGUGAUGGAAAGUGCAUGGUUUAAGGCAGAGCCUCCCCACAGGAGGAAAAGAACGCAGAGAACUCCCUGCUGCCUGAACCUGUAACAACAUCUCUUUGCCACAGGAUGCCACUUACUGAGUCAAGCUGUGCUGUCAUCUCUGCAAUCGGGCAGAAAGUGAAAAAUAAUGACAAUUUUUAUAACAUUCUGGAAACAGGAAAAUUCUGGAACAGUCAUCCAUUUUGUUUUAUGCUCACUUUGGGAAAAAUUGUAGAAGAAUGAAACUAGAAGUGGGUGAAGUCAAGCCAGUACAUCCUCUUUCGGUUUUUUUGUUUUGUCUUUUUUUUGUUUUUGUCUGUAAGAUACCUACAGCCAUGUAGGCUGGCCCAGAUAUCCUUCCAUUGAUUAGAAGAGCAUGCAUUUUUGUUUUGCCAGAAGUGAGGUAUGUUGUUAACAUUGUUAAAAAAGAAAGAAAUCCAAAAUGGAGUCAUUUGUCCCUGACAACAGCAAAGAAAGAUCGAAUUAGUUUCAAUCUGUUCCAUGAAUGCAACCUUUUAACAAUCAAUCUGAAAUGUCCUGAUCAGCACUAAUGUGGUAACCUGUAUGAUAAAAACCCUGCCAUUCCCCUCCCUGCUUCCUCAAAAAAUGUCCUGGCCUGAAACAAUCUUUUCUUUUCUUCUGCUAAUAACUUCUUGUCCCACCUCCUUCCUAGGAAAACUUUCCAUUUUGUAGAAUUCCUAGGAGCUCCCCUCCACUUACUAGAUAGGAUGCUUUCUCAUCUAUUGAUUAAUAAAGCCAAUCAGAUAUUCAGAUUUACUUGGUUGAAUUUUGUCUUAUAACACCACUCUAAAAUGAAACAAAGAACAAGAACUUCAAGGAGAACAGGUCCCCACCCUGGUAAUCGCAUGCACUUGAAACAGCUUGUGGGGAGCUGCCACCACUGAGGCAAAAUUUCAAACUCAGCUCUCAGGCUGUUGUCCUGAGUAGGGAAAAUAUCCAAAGCACUCAGCAAUAAGAGAAAGAAUAAAUAAGUGAUGACACCAAUUGAGGAAGGAAAACAAUGCUGCCACUAAUAAAAUACACCCCAGGAGAAAGCUUAUGGAAAUGGGGAAACAUUCCCUUUAUAUUGUUAAGGGGAAACAAAAAAAGCACAACAUAAAAUACUAUGUAUUCUAUGACAUAGUUUUAAAUAUAACCAGAAAAAAUACUGAUUGGCAAUUUAUAAAGAUGAAGAGUGUUUAUCUUUGGUUUAUGAGAUUACAGAUAGACUCUUUCUUUCUUUCUUUCUUUCUUUCUUUCUUUCUUUCUUUCUUUCUUUCUUUGUUUUUUUGAUUUGUAGUUUUUUUUCUGGUUUUAUAACGUUUCUGUAUUGAAUAUGUGUUACUUCCCUAGUAAGGAAAAAAAUGAAGGUGUUAUUUAAAAUAUUGGCUCCUUAAAUCAGACAUUCUGAGGUUCUUUACAGACUCACCAAAAUCCUCUUAUUGCGGGGCACCUGGGUGGCGCAGUCGGUUAAGCGUCCGACUUCAGCCAGGUCACGAUCUCGCGGUCUGCGAGUUCGAGCCCCGCGUCAGGCUCUGGGCUGAUGGCUCGGAGCCUGGAGCCUGUUUCCGAUUCUGUGUCUCCCUCUCUCUCUGCCCCUCCCCCGUUCAUGCUCUGUCUCUCCCUGUCCCAAAAAUAAAUAAACGUUGAAAAAAAAAAAAAAUUAAAAAAAAAAAUCCUCUUAUUGCUAUGGUGGGGACUGCACACUCACCCAGACUUUUGGACUCCUCCUCCAGGUGGGUGAUACUUAUACAGGAAGAAUGUUUGGAAUUCUAGAGUUGCUCAGAGGAUUUUUGACUGCUUUUUAUGAGGCCAAUCCACUUCUUUCUCCUCAAGAACACUUCAAAAAAAAUGGUUUCACCCUCUGGCCAACUGCAAUUUUCUCUUUGUUGUCUUUCAGAAGGCUGAUUGGUAACACACAUCAUCCAGGGAACCUAUGUUUUGAUACAAGGGAACCUAUAUUUUGAUACAAGAAUAUUUUUCUCUAAGAUGAACCAUGAUUGACUUCUUCUUUGAUCUCCUACCCUUCUUUCUUACGGAAGGCAAAGUUUGGUGUCAAGAAGAACAUAUGAACUUAGUAUGAGGACAGGUAGGAUAUCACAAAAGCCCUGACUAAAAAAUUGAAUGUUUGACAUACAGCAUUGUGUAAAUUUAAGAUGUACAAUGUGCUAACUUGAUAUAUUUAUAUAUUGUGAUACGAUUGCCUUUAUAGCUAUAUUUAGCACCUUUAACACAUUAUAUAAUUAUCCUUUCCCUUUAGUAUUUGGGAUAAUUACAUUUUAGUCUCUUAGCAAUUUUGAUAAUUGUAGUACAACAUUAUUAUCAUAUUCACUAUACUGUGCAUUAGAUCUCUAUGACUUAUUUACUACUCAUUUCAAGUUUGUACCCUUAAGCAACAUCAGUCUUAUUCCCUCACCCCCUGUCCCCUGGUAACCACCAUUUUACUCUCUGGUUUUUACAAGUUUGACUUUUUUAGAUUCCACUUAUAAGUGAUAUCAUACAAUACUUGUCUUUUUCUGUCUGACUUAUCUCACUUAGCAUAAUGUGCUCAAGUUCCAUACAUUUUGUCACAAAUGUCAGAAUAUUCUCCUUUCUCAUGGCUGAAUAACCCAUUGUGUGGAUUAUUUUUUUUUAAGUUUACUUAUUUAUUUUGAGACAGAGAGAGUGCAAGUAUGGGUGGGUCAGAGAGAGAGAGAGAGAAUAAGAGAGAAUCCCAAGAAGGCUCCACACUGUCAGUGUAGAGCCCAAUGUGGGGCUCAAAUCCAUGAACCAUGAAAUCAUGACCUGAGCCAAAGUUAGAUGCUUAACUGACUGAGCCACCCAGGUGCCCCGGAUUAUUAUUAUUUUUUAAUCCAUUUACCCAUAUAUGGGCAUUUAAUCUGCUUCCAUAUCAGUUUUUUCCUUUAAACAUUUUUUUUUUUUUAAUUUUAGAGAGAGAGAGUAUGUGUGCAAGAGGAGGAGAGGGGCGGGGGGGGGGAGAGAGAGAGAGAGAGAGAGAGAGAGAGAGAGAGAGAAUAUCUUAAGCAGGCUACUCUCUCAGUGUGGAGCCUGACUCAGGGCUUGAUUGUACAACCAUGAUAUCAUGACCUGAGCCAAAAUCAAGAGUUGGAUGCCCAAUCCACUGAGCCACCCAGGUACCCCAAGGCUGCUUCCAUAUCUUAAAGCCCUGAUAUUUUUAAGCUGAGGGAAAGGCAAAGAACUCCAACCUGCAUUGGCCUUGCCUGACAAGAGGUGCUAUUGUGCAUUAUGGAAAGGAAGGCAGGCCUUCUCUGCUCAUUUGCUACACAGAGAACACUGUUAGCAAGGUAAUCUUCAGAAGAGGGAGGAUACCAUGUGUACACGUGUGAGUGUGUGUGUAUGUAUCUGUCACGCAGGUGGUGUGUGACAUGGUGGUGACUGUGUGUCCCUCUCCUAUAGAUGUGUCAGCAUGAGAAACCCAAGAGUUAGGAAGAGGGAGAGAUGCUUUCUGCUGGGAGCAAGGGAGAGGGGGUUCGCUGUCCUAGUCUGACUUCUUCACUUUGUUGGUCCUAGACAUUCCAGGCUAGCCCAUGGGGACGCACUGCCCUCCUGUGGUUGGCAUGGUUCUUCUUAACUUUCCCCAGGUCUCACUUCCCUUCCUAAGUUACUCCUGAAUCUGGCUUCCAGUUGCCAGGGUCCAGCUACCUCAGCUCUCCCUCUGUCCUCAGCUCCGUCCCUCUGCCCUUUCUUAGUCCAUCCUUCCUCACUGCAAGCUCACUUAAAGUCACCUUCAUCUGCUCCUUUAUAGCCCUCUCUGACUCCUCGCUGGGGAUUCGUAGCUUUUGGAAAUGAUCCGAUUGUUCCUUUUUCUGAUCCCGAUGUUCUCUCUAGGGAGCCAUUGUCGAGCUUUAUUCCAGCUCUUGAUAUGAUAUGGUUCCAGCUAAAGAUGGUUCCUGUCCUGGUUAGUAGGUCUUGGGAAAGGAAAGGCGAUGGUCGUGGAAGGAAAGAGAGUGCUGAUGGCUGAAAGCACAGGUGGCUGAAAGGGAAUGUAAGGGCUCCUGGGCUGGGAGGAGGCAAAACGUGCAUGACUCACCCUUGCUUGAAAUCUCCCAACCUCUGCUCAUUUCCCUCAGAUGCUGAUAGCAUCAGUGACCCAGAAACAUAUGAGGAGCCCAGGGUCCCAGGUCCUCAAGUCUCCUUUCUGUAGUCCUGUAAAUCCUUUCUACCUGAAGUAGCUACCAUCCAUACAAUUGUGUCCAUACAACCACUCUUGUUGAAAGCAGCAUACAAGUCAAUGAUGUGUUGGAUGUCUUCUGUUUGAAGGAAGGAAGGCAGAUAGAUUGGCCUAAAGGCACAGCUGAAAAUUUAUUUAUUUUGCCUCCAUUUCAGCAAUAUCCGUGGUUUUUACAGUCUAGAUUUUUACACAAUUUAUGUUCCUCUGACAGUAAUGGAUAUCCAAUUAGCUAAUCUUUCUUGGAUUGUUGUAAGCUAUUACUUUUUAUUUAUAUUAUUUUAUUUUUAAUUUUUUUUUUAAGUAGGCUUUACACCCAGUGUGGAGUGCAGUGUGGGGCUUGAAGUCACAGCCCUGAGAUCAAGACCUGAGCUGAGAUUAAGAGUUGAAUGCUAAAUGACUGAGCCAUCCAGGUACCUGUAAGUUAUUAGUUUUUAAAAAUUGAUUUCUGUUUGAAGUUAUUUUGCAAGGUGAUCGUGAUUAGUGUUGUCAAUACUGUUCUUAAAGCAAUACUUUAAGAAAUGAGUUGUGAGUUUUACAAUGUUGUAACAUUUAAAUGGGGUUGCAUAUGUUAAAUUAAGAUGAUCACACUGUUAUGGAUUACUUUCAUUUUAUUAUAUGAAGUUCUGCAACUUCUAUUGCGAUUUUUCCCACUUCUUACAGCAAUAUCUGGAUAGAUAGAGCCUUGUAAAGAAUUAGUAAGAAGAGUCACACUACAUAUGUACAAACUUAAAAGAGUAAAGAAAUUGUUGAGUAUCGCAAAACGUGCCUCAGUUGCCAUGUACAACCGUUGGGGGAAAUUGUGCUAAUUUGUGAGUACCUUCAGAACUGUGCCUUGGAACAUGAAGCAAAUGAAGGAAAGAGAUGCUUGGCACCAAGAUACAUCACAAUGUAAAAAUGUGCUUCAUUCAUGCCAUGCCACCUGAAGGGAAGAAUUUGACAAGUCAGUGUUUUCUUUCACUGACAUGCUUCUGCUGCUCAGAUUCUUCCAGAACUUGGAAGCAGUGUUUGUCUCCUAUUCUGGCAGAGGCACAAUCUGUAAGCAGUGUCAUUACUCAGACAUAGCCCUGUUUUAAGGAUCUUGGACAAGAGAAGUGUGGAGGUUUAGGGUUAUUGGUCACAUUGGACCUCAAGCCACAGAAGCACCUCUGUGUUCUGUAAUCAAUUUAUUAUUUUAUAUAAAAUAAUAGUGUUAGUUACCUGUGGGCCUUUCUUAAAUGUGAGGCCCAGAGAAGGGUCUUGGCGCAAGGGUAGUUCUGGCUGUAUCUUCAGCACUGAGGCAAAGUCAAGUACAAAGUAAUAGGUGAUUCCUAAUAAUUCCUGAUCAAAUAAUUUUUCAGUGAAUGGGAUGAGCGCCUGAAAGAGAUGUGUUGCUGGCCUUCUGGAUGCCCUAUAGUUAAUGAAUUUUAAGAAGAGUUUCUUUAGAGUACAGAUAAGGGAGAGAAAGCCUUCGGGGCAGGAGGAGUUUAGAAUUGCUGGCCAUAAAGAGAUUAGUUUAGAAAUGUUCUCCAAACAAAAUACAGAUAAACUCUUGAGCUGGCUUUGUAUGGACAAGUGAGGAGAGCAGUUUCUCUUUGAGUCAUGAGGGCCCUAAGUUCAGAUGGAAAGAACCUGCUUCUUCCAAGAUCAAGGGAUAAAUGGCCCUGGCCUAAAAUGGGGACUGGGAGUACAGGACUUUGAAAUAAACCGGAGCAGGCUCCAAAGUCUGAAGAGUGGGUGAGAUUGGGCCAAACCAAUUGUCUGGCAUGAGAUAGUAGCUAUAAAUCUUCCCUAACACUAUCUAGUAUGUACUGUGGAAAGUCAUUGUUACCCUGGUAAAAUAAUAUUUGUUCAUUAUGUAAAUGUCAAUGAGAGGAAACGGAGGUCCAUAUGAGGGAGGUAUAAGGAUAGACUAAAAUCUCAGGCUACACUUUUUGAAGAAAAAGACUUUGUAUUUCAAAUUUGUAUCACAACAACUUAACCAACUGAUCACACAGCUGGCUAAAAAGUUCUCAGUGUGGACUUGUCCUUGAGCUAUGCUCUGUCAAUACCACCUGUAGCCCACUUCUGCUUUCCCUCUCCAUUUAGAGGUUUAAGGGGAGAAGUUCUAGAGAACAGACUUGGCAGGUUUUUGUUUGUUUUGUUUUUAUUUUUUUAAUGCUUAUUUAUUUUUGAGGGAGAGAGAGAGAGAGAGAGAGAGAGAGAGAGAAUCUGAAGCAGGCUCCAGGUUCUGAGCUGUCAGCACAGAGCCUGAUGUGGGGCUUGAACUCGUGAACGUGAGGACAUGACCUGAGCCCAAGUCAGAAGUCCAAUGAACUGAGCCACCCAGGCACCCCCAGACUCGGCAAGUUUUAAAGGAUAGGAAGGAAGGACCAUUUUCAUAUACUUGCAUUUUCCCAGAAGUUUUAGGUAUCUGCUGAAAACAGUGAGACUAUAUUUCUUUUUUUGUUUUAAGUUUAUUUGUUAAUUUUUGAGAGAUCACAAGCAGGGGAGGGGCAGAGACAGAGGGGGACAGGGGAUCCAAAGUGGGAUUUGUGUUGACAGCAGAGAGCCUGAUGUGGGGCUCUAACCCAUGAACUGUGAGAUCAUGACCUGAACUAAAGUUGGGCGCCUAACUGACUGAGCCACCCAGGAGAUUAUUUCUUACCUGAAGCUCAUCCAGAGAAAAGAGUCCAUAAUGCAGAGAAUCCUAACUGCCCUAGGCCUUGUAGCAAACUUAGUUUGUAAGCUGCCUUCUGGGGCACACUGAUACGGAUCUACAUAGUUUAGGAAAAGUCCUCCAUUUAAGGUUGGGCCUGUGGCUUCUUGCGUAGGGAGAGAAAGAAAUUCAGCUAUAGUCUUGGCAAACUUUGAGAAAAGGAUUACUGGGAUAUAAAGAGACAAUUCACAAUAGAGGAUUAUGUUUAGUAAAAUGAACGUUGGAGAAGAUAUCUAACCUCACUAGUAAAGAAAGACAUGUCAAAAUAUUAGGACACAGUGGGGCGCCUGGGUGGCUCAAUUGGUUGAGCAUCUGGCUUUGGCUCAGGUUGUGAUCUCACAGUUUGAAUUCGAGCCCCUGCUUCAGGUUUGCUGCUGUCAGCGAAGAGGCCACUUCAGAUCCUCUGUCCCCUACCACACCUCCCUGCUUUCUCUGUCCCUCCCCUACUUGUGCUCUUUCAAAAAUAGAUAAACAUUAAAAAAACACAUUAAGACACAGUUUCUCCUAAUAAAAUAGGUUGCAGUGAAAUCUAUACUCUAUGCAUAGCAGAUGGCAUUGUAAAUAGGUGCAAAUGUUUUGGAGGGCAGUUUGCAAUAUGUUUGAAGCCAAAAAGAUGUCCUUUGAUCCACUGAUCCCAAACUGGUUAUACUGUAAACAUUUAUAGAGUCCCUUCCAUAUGACAGAUAACAUUCCGGGCAGAGACAUCAGAGACUGGUGUUGUAGACUGUUCCCUUCAGGAACGGACAUUCUGCAGGGGGAAAGCACACCUAUAAAAACCUGCCUUUCAGCUGACUUUGAGGGGGCUCCUUUCUCGCUGGGAACAAGAUGGGUCAAGUAGAAGAGGGUGUGACCAAGUGUGUUUCUGAGAUGGUGCAGAAAAGGCAGUGUAGGUAGGGGUGCCUGGGUGUCUCAGUGGGUUAAGCGUUGGACUCUUUGUUUCGGUUCCGGUCAUGAUCUCAUAGUUCAUGAGUUUGAGCCCUGCAUUGGGCUCUGUGCUGGCAGUGCAGAGCCUGCUUGGGAUUCUCUCUCUCUCUCUCUCUCUCUCUCUCUCUCUUUCUGCCCCUCACCUACUUGUGCUUUCUCUGUCUCUCUCAAAAAUAAAAUAAAGCAUUAAAAACAUGUUUUAAAAAAAUAAAAAAAGAAAAGGCAGUGUAGAAAAACAUGGAGGGGAGGGAAUUUGCAACACUACAUUUCCUGAUGAGGAAAGGGGGAAGACAGUGUGUCUCAGGCAGGGACUGAUGCUUCCUUCAUGUCUUUCUCAGAAACCAUGAUUCUGACGUGGACUCUUUUGCUUCUGCUGCUAGAUCAGACUGUUUUCUCCCAGGCCUAGGACUUCUAUGGUGGAAUCAGAGCUCCUGGAGGUCCAGUUCACCAUGGGGGUCUAGUUGAUAUGGCCAGGUGAGGAAGCAGCUCAGGGGAAUGGUCUCCAGGUCUGCAAGUCCAUCAUUACCUUCACUCACUAGAGCUUCUGAAGGAUAAAUGACAUAUUCAGUGCCCUACCUGCAAGGUGCUGGGAUCCUGCAGUGGACAACUAACUUACCUCUGAAAACCCAAGGUCACUGAGUGUGUGGUCUUCCAGGGCAGACUAUCCUGGCCCCAUGACUAUCCUUACAGAUCUAGGAUCUGGUCCCCGAGCAGGCCUGUGUGCGGAGCUAGCUGGUUCAUCUGGAGGGCUAGACUCCAGGACCACUGUGGGCGGUUUGGGGAGUUCAGCACCACCGUGCCCAAGUAGGACUGCCUUCUGUGGUCCUCCCCUUCACUCAGCUUCCCAGAAGCUGCACACCUCACUGACCCCUGCCUGCCAGCUUUCUCGGGCUCCUCAAGUUCAGGGGUUGGGAAGAGGAAUCAUGGGUGGACAACAGGAGAAGGGCCACUCACUUUGUCUCCUCUGUGGGUAAAUGCCCUUUCUGGCCAGAUGUGACAUCCUAGGCUGACACUUGCCUCUUUUCCAAGUUUUCUCGGCUCUCCUUUCACCCAGAGAAUCUUUGCUGGGUGCAUAGUGUGAGGGGUGGGAGCGGGGGAAGCAUCUACUUCAGGAAGCCUUGAUCCCACCCUAAGGUGAUGCUCUCUGAAUCUUGGGGCUAGUUUGUUCAAGAGCUGCUCUAAUAACACUCCUGCAGGCGCUGACCCUGAUUCCCACUGGCAGCUUCUCUCUUCUGGCGGCUGCACCCCCUUCUCUCACAGAGGCGCUAUUGCCUUGCUCCCCGACAGCCAAGAGGGGAACUUCCUUUCCUCUUGGCUCUGUGAGCAAAGGCUGAGACCAGCUUUAGCUUUUAAAAGGCUUUUUGAGGGAUGCCUGGGUGGCUUAGUCAGUUGAGCGUCCAACUUCGGCUCAGGUCAUGAUCUCGCAGUUCAUGAGUUCAAGUCCCGCAUCAGGCUUUGUGCUGACAGCUCAGAGCCUGGAGCCUGCUUUGGAUUCUGUGUCUCCCUCUCUCUCUGCCCCCCACCCCCACCCCAUCCCUCCUCGUCCACUCUCUCUCUCUCUCAAAAAUAAAUAAACAUUAAAAAAAAAAAGAAAAAAGAAAGGGUUUUUGAGCCCUGUGGAAGACGAUGGAGAAACAGACACAUAGGAUUUAAAUAUCUCAGAGCAGAUUGACUUCCAAAGCAUAAAGGUUUUUUUUUUUUAAUUAUUUUUUAAACUUUUUAAAUGUUUAUUAUUUUUGAGAGAAAGAGAGAGCAAGCAGGUGAGGGGCAGAGAGAGAGGGAGACACAGAAUUGGAAGCAGGCUCCAGGCUCUGAGCUGUCAGCGCAGAGCCUGACGUGGGGCUUGAACUCACAGACUAUGAGAUCAUGACCUGAGCUGAAGUCAGCCGCUUAACUGACUGAGCCACCCAGGCACCCCCAAAGCAUAAAAUUUUAACCCUUCUUCUGUGAACUGGCACCCAGGCUCUGUCUCAUUCUACCUGUUGCCUUGGGACAGUCACACUUUCCAAAGAGAGAAGGCCAGCAACAGACACAUCUAAUGAGCAUCCAUUGUGUGCCAUGAGCCUCCAACAGCAGGGUGAGGAUGGAGGGGGAGCUGGGCUGGAAAGAGAAUAUCAGCAGAGCUCUUGGCUCUUCUGUUCCAGUCCCCAGUUUCUUUUUUUUUUAUUUUAGAGAGAGAGAGGUGCAGAGGGGGGGAGAGAGAGAGAAUCCCAAGCAGAUCCCACACUCCGCAUGGAGCCCAGUGAGGGGCAUCAUUCCAUGACCCUGGGAUUAUGACCUGAGCUGAAAUCAAGAGUUGGCUGCUCAGCCAACUGAGCCACCAGGCGACACUCCCCACCCCCGAGUUUCUUUUCUAAAAGCAGCAAGUAUUCACUUUCUUUGUGUCUUUUCACAUAUGUGUACAUAAUACAUAAGCCUGUACGCAUACAUAAACUUAUUGGUGUGCAUUUAGGUUUGUGCGUGUUUGUGUGUCUCUCCCCCAUUUUACCCCACAUAUAGUAGCAUCCUAUACACAGUGUUCCGCACCUUAUUUUUUUGGUCACUAACAAUAUAUUUGGCAAAGGAUGUACCUCACUCUAGUUAAUGGCUGAAUAAUAUUCUCCUGGUUCUAUGGCUGUUUAUUCAUUUCCUUAAUCAAUCUAUUAUUCAGGGUGUACACUUUGUUUAUGACUAUAAAGCUGGAAUAUAUAUCCUGGAACAAAACAGCAACAAGCCCUGUGUAUUUAGCUACUGACAAGCUCACUCCUAUGCACACUGUCAGUGUUCCGAGGACCUGGCGUCGGAUCCUGCGCAGUGUGGGGCAGAGGGACCUGUGGGUUGGCAACACCCAAUCUUCCAGAUGCCCGUGUAUAUCAUUGGCUCCAAGGAAUUCUGGGAAGUAUUAUUUUUCAGAAUAUAACAACAUUACCAGCAAAAUGUUUUCCUUGUAAUGAGAGCCCAGUAACGUCUCUGUACAUAGAAGUCAGCACUAUUGUUUCAACAUUCUGAUCUUUUAAUCCUGGAGAGAGUGAAAGCAAUACCUGUUUAUAUGUGUGAGAUAAACUUGGAUACAAGGGCAACUAAUUUAGUUUCUAAUCACAUACAGAAAAUUUUUGACAAAAUCGUAGGCUCUCAUUUUCAUGCAACUUCUAUAGGAUAAGCACUGUACUUAAAUUGACUCAUUUAAAACAUCCAACAAAUUGACCCUCAAAAACAAAAUUGACCCUCAAAACAUCCCACAAAAUAGAUACUAUUAUUUCCAUUUUAAACAUGAGCAGACAGAGGCCCACAUAGUUAAGAGACAGUAGUGACAGAACCAAGAGUGUUUCCCUCAAAGCCAGAGUGUUCCCAUUUAUUCUGGGCUGUCUCUUAGAGGGAUCGAGGGUACACAGUCUCUUUAGGGUAAAUCCUUUCUUUCUUCUUGUCUCAGUUUCUUUGUCUCUAAAAUAGGGACAAUCAUUCAGGAUAACUUAUCUGUAUUAUCCUGUUUAUUUUCUAGGUAAUAAUGUUGUUGCCAUAAUAAAAUAUGCAUUCUAGGAUGUAAGGGGGGGGUCUCCAUUCUGGUGGUCCUCACCCUUUUUAUCCCCCAGGACCUGUGUCAUUAUCCCUGCCUGUGAAACACAUGUCUUUAGAACAUACUAAGUAAACUGGUAUGUUUUGGGGGCCAUUUUUUUUAGUGAUCAGCUACAUAUAUAGUUGUCAAGCAGUACUUCUGAUUACCUGAUUUAAAUGGUAUUAUCUCUGGGUGCCUGGGUGGCUCAGUCGGUUAAGCAUCCGACUCUUGAUUUCGGCUCAGGUCAUGAUCUCACGUUUUGUGAGUUCAGGCCCCGCCUCAGACUCUGCACUGACUGAUAGCAAGGAGCCUGCUUGGGCUUCUCUCCCUCUCUCUCUGCCCUUCUCCCGCUCACUCUCAAGUAUGCAUAUGUACUCUCUCUCUCAAAAUAAGUAAAUUAAUUAAAGAAAUAAUUAGUAUUAGCUCUACAAAAACACUUCACAUUCAAAUGCUUUGUUAGCUCAUCCUAUUCAUGUGUAAUGUGAGUAAAUGUGUUUUCAUUAGGGUUUUGGAUAUAUCAUGUACUAGUUUUAUCAAGUGUAGCAUACUUAGGCAGAGGGGAAGGAGUUGUUUCACACUGGCAUGUCUUACAUUGAAUUUGUAUCAUCCCUACGGCUGCUUCUCUGCCCCACCAUUCUUUGAGGCUAAAGAUAUAAAUGUGGUUACCCGUGAUCAGGCUAAUAUCCAAGGCAAGGGCAGGAGGAUGUUAACUGGAGCUGAGCCAAACAUCUGGGUUUGGUCACUCAAUCAGUGACUUUUCCUAGAUGUGCAAAAGAGCAGUUAUUGCAUUAAAGAGUCAAAUAAGGUAGGAUUCCAGGAGGAUUUUUGUUUUUGUUCUUUUGAGUAUUUAUUAAGAUGCCUAAGAAGACUUUAAGCCUAUGUGCUGAUCACUAAUAUAUAAUCCUUGUGUUCCCCUGAUUCAUAGAGAGUCCCAUAUUAAGUGAUUUUUGCCUUUUCUUGUAUUGCAUUUGGGAAAUUGCAGAAUUUGGAAGCAUUGGAAGUAUUUUUGUUGCUCUGCCCUCAACAAAGAUGAAAACCAACUGUCUUUAUAAAGCCCUUCAUUACUGGAGAGCCUACAGGGAUGGAGAGGCUCUGGAGGUCAAGAGAUCAUGAGGAGAAGAGUUUCAUUGUCCAGCCAUUCUAGUGAGGGGACUAGUCUAGCCUUCACCAUGUCUUCAGCUUGGUGCAUAAGCCCUGUGUUGACUUGGAAAGUCAGCAGGCCCAGAAUGGCUGCCAGAAAGAGCUCAUAAACCUGCUCCAUUUGGGGAUGGAGGCUGCAGUGAUCACAGAAACCCUGAUGGAACCUGAGGUGGGAGGUCUUGGUGAGCUACGCAUGGUUGGGGCUGUGGUAGGAAUUUAUGCUUUUGCUCUGUAGUAGAAUAUUACAGAAUGGCCCCUGGUCUAUCAUACUACAUAUAUGACCUUGUAUAAUCCUCUCCUGCAUUCAUUCUAAGCUGCUUUGACUGAUGGAAGGUGGCCACAUACAUCUUCCAAGUUUGGAUCUUGUGACCUCUGUGCUCACUCUUAUGGAGCUCCGAGCAUCUCUUUCUAGAGAACCAUGUGGAGAGGGGGGUCUUAGAGUGUGAAUGAACAUGAGGAGACAAAGGCCCAACAUCCAGUCAUCCCAUCUGGGGGAACUCAAUAUGUGAGUGAAGUCACCUUAAAUGACAACCACAAGAGCCAGCCCAGUUGACACCAGAGUUGUCCAGAGAUGAGCUAACCUAGCUGAGUUCAGGCAAUUUACAUAAUAAUGAAAAUUAAUAAAUAAUUGCUGUUUUAAGUCACUCAGUGAUUUGCUAUACAGCAAAUAUAUGCAUCAUAUAUUUACAAAUAUAUAAGAAAUAUAUAGUAAAUCUCUUUCUAUAUGUAUAUAGGAUAUAUGUGUGUAUGUAUAUGCCUGACACAAAAUAGGUGUUUAAAAGUGUUACUGGCUUCUUUCUAUAUUUCUCUGCCUUCUUAGAUAGCCAUAGGGAUGAUAAAUGAAGGAUGCUGAGGGGUUCUAAGCUAUAUAUCACAACUCAUCACCCAGGACAUCCUCCUAGAGUUAAAGAUAUUUUGCCCUUUUGCUUUCUAUUGGGCUAGAGGUAGUUAGGGGCAGGAAGAAAAAGACUUCCUGGGGUACCUGGGUGGCUCAGUGUGUUAAGUGGCCAACUAUAGAUUUCUGCUCAGGUCAUGGUCCCCAGUUCAUGAGUUUGAUCCCUGCAUCUGGCUCCAUGCAGACAGUGGAGCCUGCUUGGGAUUCUUUCUCCUUUCUCUAUGCCUUUCCCUUCUUCUUCUUCUCUCCCUCUCAAAAUAAAUAAAUAAACAUUAAAAAAAAGGGAAGACUUCCUGCUCUAGAGGUAUCUGAGGAGUGAAACUGUUAGAUUAAUACUUACUGAUGGAUUGUUCUCUCCAGGCUGUUGGCAAAUCCACUAACCCAGAUGGUCUCAGAAGUUGUUACUACUGAGAUCACCCCUCACUCUUUUGUGUUAAUCUUUUAUCUUGCUCAAAUGCAAAGGUUGUUCUGUAUAUUUUAUAUAAUAAUACAAUAUAAUAAUAUAAUAUAAUAUAAUAUAAUAUAAUAUAAUAUAAUAUAAUAUAUAAAUUUGAGUUUUUACAUGCAGGGACUCAUGCUUAUAAUGCACCAUCCAAAUAAAAUUAUUUGAUUUAAUUUAAUUAUGCAUGUAAACCAAAUUUACAUGCACACAGGCCAUUGUUGGGUGUCCCAAUUGUGUGGGUGUUGGUGGUGUGGAUGGUGAAAGAAUUUGCCCAAAGCAGACCAAAAGAGAUAGAAGGGAUGCCUGGGUGGCUCAGUUGGUUGAGCAUCUGACUUUGGCUCCGGUCAGGAUCUCACAGUUUGUGAGUUCAAGCCCCAUAUAGGGCUCUCUGCUGUCAGUGCAUAGCCCUCUUUGGAUCUUCUGUCCCCCUCUCUCUGCUCCUCCCCUGCUUGUGCUCUCUCAAAAAUAAAUAAAAACAUUAAAAAAAGUAAUUUAAAUAAAGAACAAAAGAGAUAGAAAUUUACUGACUACAUUGCAAGGGAGCAGUAGGCAGGACAGUAGAGGAGAGACUGUCUGUGAUGAGGCGGUAGUGAGGAAGAGGGAGUAUGGGGAUGUAUGAACUUUUCCCCUUUUUUGUAAUCUUAGGAACUGUGCCUGGUUGUAAUUGGUCAGUUAGGGCCUAUGGCUAUUUUGAGGUGAGUCGCUUAAUGAGACUGUUUGCAUUCAGCUCAGUGGCAAGGGCCCUUGCCUUGCUCUAUAACCAUUUUGCAAGUGAAGAAAGGAAGGGAAUAUCUACUAAGAUUCUACAGUCAACUAAUGGAAGAAGAUCUGGACCAAAUCCCACAUCCUGUUUCCCUCAGACUUCUACUCACAUAGCUGAGACCAUGUCGUGACCCCAAGUGUCACUAUCAAAAUUAUGGGCGCACACUGUGCUUUGUGAAAUGAGUCCAAAGAAAUCCCCAGAUCUCACUUGCUGUCAUCAGGGCCAACCACCCAGGGACUAUUCAGGGGCUUUCCCCAGUGUCUGUGCUCCAGGAGAGGAGAGGAGAGGAGAGGAGAGGAGAGGAGAGGAGAGACGAGACACAGGUUUCACCUCAGCUCGUAGUGUAUGCAUCCAGGGGAACAGCACCUGCAGUGUGACUUGUCUGAGAUUCUCAGUCGUUGUUGGUUCCCCUGCAGCAGUAGGAGCCAUCUUGACUUUGUCCCCUUAUUCCCAGUGCCUCCCACUGUAUUCCUGGUUGUAGUAGUUGCUCAGUGUUUGCCCAAGUGAUGGUGUCUUAUCUAUGGCUGUCUGUAAGGCUCAGGGCACACUCUCUUUCCUCUGUUUGGGCCACCAGAAGGACAGAGGAUGUUGAAGUGUUCCCUUUUUUUUUUUUAAAUAAUUUUUAAAAAAUUAUUUAUUUAUUUUGAGAGAGAGAGACAGAAACAAGAGUGAGCAAGUGGGGGAGGGGCAGAGAGAGAGAGAGAAUCCCAAGCAGACUUCACACUGUCAGAGUGGAGCCCGAACUCAUGAACCAUGAGAUCACGACCUGAACCGAAAUCAAGAGGAGGACGCCUAACAGACUGCGUCACCCAGGCUCCCCGAAGUGUUCCAUUUUCGUUCUUGGUCUCCUGUCUCUUGCUGCUUUCUUUUUAUAUUUCUUUUUUUCUAUUUUAUUGUUUUAUUUUCCUCCCUCCUUCCCUACCUGCCUCCCUCCCUUCACCUUCUUUUUACAACGCAAGAUACCUUUGAAUGUAAAUUUUAUUAUUAAUUUAAAAAAGAAAACUGACAAGCAAAUCAGAUGGAACCAAUCACAUUUGUUUUCUCCUUACUCUCUGGGGCUUAUUUAUCUCUUGGGUGGCAGAUACCAGGUGGGGAAGCCUCAGUCUCUCAGCCUAAGGCAGGGAGAGGCACAAGUCAGAUCUGCAUCUUGAUGCAUAAGUCCCAACUAUGAGGCAAUCCCAUGGAUUGGUAUGGGUCUCCUUGCUUUGUGAUUGGCUGAUUAACUCAUGCUUAAGGGCAGCAUUGUUGUUGCUGGUAUUGAAACUAGUCCAAUUACAAAGCAUCCUGCUACAGGGCAGAGAUUUGACAAUUGGAUCUGGCUGCUUCGGCAAAAACCUAUGUUGAAGAGAGCAUGAUGGUUCCAGAGGUCAUUUGUUGUUGUUGAACCCACAACCCUGAGAUCAAGAUCAAUGUGCUCUACUGAUUAAGCCAGCCAAGUGCCCCAGGAUCAUAGAUUUUUUAAACUCUGGCUGGGGUGGGCCCAGUCAGGGCUCUCUACAGAUACAUGACAGAGGAGCACCAGUCCACAUGGCAUCACAGAGCAGUGCUGGUCUCUGCAUGGGAUAGCAUGAAUUGAACCCUGACAUCCUUAGAACAUGAGUCAUGUUCAUGUAGAAACUUCUUAGGGGUAGGGUGUGGAUUCUAGUUCAUGGAUAAGCUCUUAGAGGAAAAGCCAAGGACUGGGCAGGAACUGGGAAUCUCCCAUGUCUCUCUCUUUUUUAAAAAAUGUUUAUUUAUUUUUGAGAGAGAGUGAGGGGUGGGGAGGGGCAGAGAGAGAGGGAGACAGAGGAUCCAAAGUGGGUUCUGCACUGACAGCAGGGAGCCCAAAGUGGGGCUCGAAUUCAUGAACCCAGAGAUCAUGACAUGAGCUGAAGUUGGACACUUAACCAACUGAGCCACCCAGGCACCCCUCCCAUGUCUCUCUUGAUGGACUGGGACUUUGACAUGGGUGCCAGAAUGGCUAUGGCAAUCAGAGGAUGUAGACAUCCUCUUGCUUUUAGUUCAUGACUGAAGAAAAUCUUAAAAUUAUCCUAUCAUAGUGGUCUGGGUCAGGGCACCCAUUGUCCAAGAAUGAAUUUAGCAGUUUCUAGACCAGACUCAGGAGAGGAAUUCCAAGAAGGAAACUUGGAUUUAUCAUUAACUCACUAACUCUUCCAUGCCUUCUAGAAAUACUGUUUCUAAUAUAUUAUCUUGCAACAAGGACCAAUUCAAGAGAGAACUUUUUGGAAGGAUAUGUCAGUAUUUUUGAGAAUCACUGGGAAUGGCCAGCACAGCUAUCCAGCCCAAGAAGUUGUCUAGAAAAUGAAGAAGAAGAAGAAGGAGGAGGAGGAGGAGGAGGAGGAGGAGGAAAAGAGAAAAGAAAAUGAAGAAGAAAUAUAAGAAGAAAGGGAUUAAGAAAGAGAAAAGAAGGAGGAGAGAAAGGUGUAUAAUAAGAAAAAAUAUUUAUAAUAUGGAAAUGAUUUUUCAUUUCUGAGUUAGUGGGAUUCUUUACUGACUGCAUUAAAUGUCCCGAACUCUGUGUUAGGGGCUAAAACCAGGAGAGGAGUGGAAUGUAUUAUGGGAAGAGCUCUCUUAUAUUUCUUACACAAUUCUUGUUCCAAAUUUACAUUUUGAUCUUGGUAAGAUGCCUUUAUCCAAGCUCUGAAGGCACUAUGGGCAUCAGACAUCAAUAAAGUGUCCCAAGAUUCUACAGGCCAGGUCAGUCUCACCCACUUCCCUUCUUUUUAAUUCUACUCCAGCCCACCAAAGGGCCACAUUACAUAGAGGCUUAAUACUUAGAAAAAAUAGAGCAAGGGAGGGCCAUUUGCAAAGAGGAACCCAUGUUACUUUUUAUUUUUAGUAAUACCCCAUUUUUUCUUCACACAAACAUUCUCCAUCUCAUCACCUCCUGAUGCUGGAAACUCGAGGCUGUGAAUUUUUUGCUGUUCAUAAAUCUGCAGAAGUUUAAAGCCUUUUAAGUUCUUCUUGGGUUUUUUCUCCUCUGCUCCACUUGCAGUGGAUUACUUUAUCUAAUUUUUAGCCUUGACCUAAUUUUUGCCUCUAGUCUAUGUCAACUAACAACCUGAAAAAACACAGAGGUCUUCCUGUGAAAUCUGGAAGAGAAUGAGUGUUGUGUAAGAUACUAACCUAGGUUUCUAGAAUCUUGCAUGACUUCACAUAUGUGCUGUUUUCUACAUACCUGUCAUUUAUAUUUCCAGUGCUUGUAUUUCAUUAUGUAAAAUGGGAAUUUUAUCUUUAUUUGAAACUAGCUAUUUGUGGACUGUGCUCUCUGUUUCUGAAACUGUUAAUCACAGGGCAUAUUAAGAUACAUGACCUCUAAGUAGCUUAUGGGAAAUUAGAGAAACUAAACGUGUGAUAGAAGUAAUAAUACUUGUAUGAACAUGGUUUUAUGGGAGCUUAGGAGAUGGAGUUAUUUUCCCUCUUUGAUCCAGGAAAGCUUCCAAGAGGAAGCUCCAUCUGAGCAGGGCCAAGAGGACGAGCAGGGGUUUGCUGGGUAAUACAGAAAGGAUGAGCAGUCUAGACUGAUGGGUUGGUGUGGAAAAAUGCACAAAGGUGGGGAAGGUCUGAGCGCUAAGAGAUAGAUGUUCAACAGAUGUCCAGCUUUUAGGUAAGAAAAAUUGGAAUCAGACUCUUGAAUUGGUAUAAUAUCAUGACAAAGUGAAUCCAUAUAAUUUUUUACUAGUUUUCUAUAUUCUUGUUAUCUGAAAAUGCAUUCAUGUGACCGUUGAUGUCCUUAUGUAAAUAUGGACACAAACUGUGACCUGGACAGGACUCAAUGCAGAGCUAAUAGCACUUGGCUGUGUCAUCUUGUUCUGUCGGAUUCCUUAAUUCCUCUGAUUAUUAAGAAAGUUUAUUCAUAUACCUGGUGUGCGAAGCAUUUUUAUAGGUGAUGAGGAUGUAAAAGUGAAUUAAGUGUGGUGUAAUGCUGUAAUGCUUAUAGUCUCUGUAAUGCUGAUAGUCAUGCUUACGGUCUUUUUUUUUUAAUGUUUAUUUAUUUUUGAGAGAGAGAAACAGAGUGUGAACGGACAAGGGGCAGAGAGCAAGGGAGACACAUGAACUGAAGCAUGCUCCGGGCUCUGAGCUGUCAGCACAGAGCCCAGAGCAGGGCUUGAACCCACGAACUCUGAGAUCAUGACCUGAGCUGGUCAGAUGCUUAGCCAACUGAGCCACCCAGGCACCCCUAAUGCUUACAGUCUUAAUGGAUAAAGAGCUGCACUCAAGUGUUUAUAACAGGAGGCAAAACCCACACACUGUAGUCAAAGUGGGUAUAUCUGGCUCAAGAGCUGCUCUGAUUUGCCUAUUCAAUAGGUUUUUUGUUGUUGCUUGUUUUUAAAAUAGGAUUUUUGAAGUUGGUGGUAAGAUAUCCAAAUGAGAAUUUUCAUAUAGAAAAUUUGGAUUUCUGGUUUGCCUUAAUGUAGUCAAGUAGGUGGCCAUCAUUACCUCAGUGUAACCAUCAGCUAGAGACCCUUGCUAAAACUGAGACACAAAGAAUCAGCUUUUAACAUACUACUUUGCUUGUGCAAUCAGAGCAAAUAGAAAUAAAGUGUCAUAAGAAUUACUUCUUUUAUUAACUCCAUGAAGAAUAUGAGCAACAGCUCUGUGAGCAAUUAGAAACACUUGCAGAAUGAUGAGAUUAUAGAGGCUGCUUGGUUUUGACCAGAAUUGGAUAAAUAUGACAAAAUCUUUGACCUUGGGCUUCAUUUUUUCUACUGUCCUUGGGUCUUUUAUUCUUUUAUUUUUAUUUAAAAAAUUUUUUUUUCAACGUUUAUUUAUUUUUGGGACAGAGAGAGACAGAGCAUGAACGGGGGAGGGGCAGAGAGAGAGGGAGACACAGAAUCGGAAACAGGCUCCAGGCUCUGAGCCAUCAGCCCAGAGCCUGACGCAGGGCUCGAACUCACAGACCGCGAGAUUGUGACCUGGCUGAAGUCGGACGCUUAACCGACUGCGCCACCCAGGCGCCCCUAUUCUUUUAUUUUUAAAGCAUAUUUCUUUAUUUUGAGAGAGAGAGAGAGUGCGUGAGCGCACACCGUGUGCAGGGGCUGGGGUGGAGCAGAGAGAGAUAAUUCCAGGCAGGUUCCCUGCUGUCAGUGCAGAGCCUGAGUUGGGGCUUGAUCUCAUCUCAGGUGAGAUCAUGACCUGAGCCGAAAUCAAGAUUUGGAUGCUUAACCGACUGAGCGGCCGAGGCGCCCCAGGUCUUUUAUUCUUCUGUGAAAACGUUUUCCAGGUACAUAUUUUUGAGUUGAAGCUUGAAAUAAAGCUGUUGGUAGAAGUAUGAAAUGUGAACAACUGGUGGGAAGUGAGGUGAUUGAUGGAAGGCAGGAUGCAUAAAUAGCUAAAGCCUUCAUUGUCAUGUGUUCACUCUAAUGCAAAUGAAUAAUCAAUACACUACAUCUCUGGUUUCAUAUGUAUUGUUGCUUAGAACAACACUAUGUGAAAAAGUGAGUUGAAAAAGGAAAUGUUAAUUAAUAAUAGGGAUGGGCUGGAGCUCUGGUGCUGGGUGCCUGACAUCUGGGAAACUCUGAGAUAAACAGGCUUAUGUAGGUCAACGCCCUAGUUGUCUGGCUUCUCAGUUUGAACUUGUUUCCCAACAGUGUUGUUUUCCAAGAAUAGUCAUUACUGCUGAUAUAUUUAGUAGCUGGGUCUUUCCCUUGAAUUGUUGGCCUCUUUAUUGUUAAGGUAUGUUCUUCCUCCAAACCCAGGGUAUCUUCCUGCAUGGAGUGUCAUGCCCUACUCUGUCUCAGUCUUCUACUUGCCUCAUACCUUUCCCUUAAGAGGGACAAGCCUGGUUUUCUGCUAAAGUGCAUGGGCUUUUUAAAAAGACAGAUCAGAGUUUGACUCACAGCUCUGCUAUUCACCUACCACAUGACUUCAGACAAGGCUCUUGUCUUCCUUUUUCUGCCAGGGAAACAGUAAAAUUCUUUCCAGAUACACAGACAUACUAAGUCUGAUGGUGGGCUACUCUAGAUUCUGAACACAGGUAAAAACACUAGGAAGUGCUGAGAGUGUGACCUCCCAGACAGCAUUUGUGUGAGGCUUAAUCCCAAUAGCCUUGUAUGAAAUAGGUGCACCAAAGAGGUGGUGGUUUCCUUGUUUAUUUCCAACUUUCCACGAGGCAUACAAAUCAUGAAUGAUGCUGAGAUAUUUAGGCUAUAUAACACCCAUCAAAGCUUCCUCUUGGGUUUAAUGAGUUUUAGUCCUUUUUUGUUUUUCUUAGAGCAGUGUUUGAACCUUCUUGGAGUUAGCUAAGGGCAGGAACUACUUCACUGAUAUUUGUUGACUAACCAACCAGGAUCCCCCAGGGCGUUAGCCAGUUACCACACUUCACACCUGGACAGUCUCGGUGGUGUAAGAUCACUCUGUAGUCUUCUGUGUUGAACUGUUUUCUUGCUCAAUUCUCUUGCUCAACUGAACAACAGCUCUGAGGGGUAGGGAUUUGCAUGUUGCCUUCAAUGUAAUAGUGAAUGCUUUUCUUAAUAAUCUUAAAGCAUCAAUAACAAAUAUACAUGUUGCAUUAGUCAGGUUUCUCCAGAGAAACAGAGCCAAUAGAAUAUACAUAAAGAGAUUUAUUAUAAGGAAUUGGUUCAUGCAGUUAUGAAGGCUGGCAAGUUCCAAGAUCUCCAGGGUGAGUCGGCAAGCUGAAGACCAGGAGAGCUGAUGGCAUAGUUCCAGUCUGAAGGCAGGCAGGCUUGAGAAGGAAAAGCUGAUGUUUCAGUUUGAGUCAGAAGGCAGAAGAAAGCUGAUGUCCCAGUUGAAGGCCAUCAGGCCAGAGAAUUCUCUUUCAUUUGGGGAAAGGGUCUACGUUUUUGUUCUAUUCAGACCUUUAACUAAUUGGAUGAGGCUCACCCACAUUAGAGAGAGCACUCUGCUUUACUGAGUCUAUCAAUUUAAAUAUUAGUCUCACUUUAAACCAUCCUCGCAGAAAUAUCCAGAAUAAUGUUUGAUUGAAUAUCCAGGUGUUGUAGACUCUAAGUCUAAAGAUCUCUCUUGUCUAGCAAAAGAGCGGAUGCAACUGAAGUGAGAGAUGGCUAAUGUCUGGGAAAAGACAAGAGCCCUGAAUAAGGGUCCUUGCCCCGUAUUUAUUCAGAUCAGAAGGCUUACAAAUGUGGCGGGCGUACACAAAGAGACAAAGAAACUGUGAACAUUAACUUGAGGACAUGAGGGGGAAAAGGGGAUUUUGAAGAUAUACAGUGUUUGGGGUUUGGGCAAUAUAAAACAAAAUCCAGGCACCAGGCAGAUGGGUGGAUGGUAGUUAACAGCAGACAGGAGGUGCCGUGCUUGUUUAUCUUUGCCAGCCUAGGGGAUGAGACAGAUAGGGGGAAUCACCUCAGGGUUAACAAGACACCUUUUCUUUUGUUAACCAUCUCAGCUCCGGCCUGCUUUGCCUGCAACACAGCGGUCCAAAGUCCACUUCACCAAUUUACCUAACCUGGCCCUAUUCUCCUAUGAAAGCAGCUUUCUGCUAUAGUACUAAAUUUGGGGGGGCUUUCACCCUGAAUAUCUAAUCUUGUUAUUCCUAUAUAUUGGGCACUUUUGCACUGUUUCUAUUUCAGGCCUUUGCCUCUCCCUUUCUAUUUUUGGGGGCUCAGCAGCCCCUCCCUACUUUGGGGUGCCUUUGCACCUCCCUAUUCCUGGCACCUUUGUGCCUCCCUAUUCUCGGGUGUCUUUGCACCCCCCUAUUCUUGGAGUGCCAAACCCCCCUAUUCUUGGAGUGCCAAUCUGGUUUACCCAAACUCGGGUGUGAGCAUUUUAUUGACUUUGUAGUUCUUUAUGCCUUGUUAACCCAUUGGUGUAAGCCCAGGGGAUUCCUAAGCUUAUCCCCCACAUCCAGGCACCCUGUGGCCCACUCAAGUUGACACAUAAAAUUAAACAUCACAUAUAUACAUAUAUGUAUUUAUAAUAGAAUAGGUUUUAUUUCAGGUAGUCUAUUUUUUCUGGAUUUAGGCAUAAUCAUUUAAGAAAAUCAGGUUUACAUAGUAGAAAAAUUCAGAAAUGUCAAUUGCAUUUUCUGUAAAUGUUCUUCUACAUGCCCAUAUACCUACUCCUUUAUUUUGUUGGGGAUUCAGAGAACUACAGAGAAUCUGAGCUGGAAGGAAUUUGUUAGGUCUUUCAUUCCAAGUCUUUCAUUUAGCAACUGGGGACCAGAAUGGUGGGGUGAUUUGUCUCUCUGACACAGAAAAUUUGUCUAGCUGACAGAACUGGGAAUUAAAUAAAUGGCUCCUUGAUACAAGGAUUCCAUUAGGACUAUGUGGCAAUUUAACAAAUGAGAUGGGUCUGUGGGCAAUCUGUAGAGAAUCUCCAGGUAGUGGGAUGGAGGGAAGGAAGGAGGCAGGAGCUGGGACUGGGUGUGCAAGAAGAAGGAGGAUCUGACAACGUGAGAUCCUCAGCUGAGUACUUAGAGUGAGGAGACAGGAGAAAGGGAGGGAAUGUGAAGUGCUGAGGGUCUUGGGGUCAGGGGAAGGAGGGACUGGUAAACCAGGGGAAGUGAGACACGGAUGCCCUACUCUCUGUCUCUUCAUUCCCUCUUUUGGGACAGAAAACACGACCCACAUGUGGAUCCUCUUCCCACUCACUCCUGGACAAGACUGUCUCCUUCUAGGCCAAGCUUUGUAAUCAACUCUCCAGACUCCUCCACUCUACCACUGGGGAUAUGGAUGUGAAGUAAGACCUUCCCUCUCCGGACACGGUUGAUUCUCUCUGCUCAGCAUCACAGUUGAUCACUCCUCCUCCUUGGUGAGGCUUAUCUGGGGAAUGCAGCUUCUUAUGACAGAGGCAAGGAUAGAAACCACUGUGAGAUCAGUCCUUGUACCCUCAAGGCAGAUAGUCAUGUCAAGUUUCAGGCUGGUCUCCAGGACAUUCCUGUCUCCUGGCUCUUCCAUGACUGCACAGGGCAUCUGUUCUCAGCCUCUCUACAAGUUCCGCCUCUUCUUCCUGAUACUUGGAUUUUGGAAAGCCCCAUGGUCAGUGUGUGCCCCUCGUCAUCUACACAGUCUAUUAUCUUAUAUGGUCUCAAGGCUUUAAAUGCCAUUGGCAUUGAUAUUCUAAAAUUCCUAGAUUUAUAUCUUUAGUCUAGCUCUCUCUCCUGAACUUCAGACUCAUAUAUCCAAGUGUCCACAUGGCAUCAUCACUGGAUGUUUAAUAGACAUGUUAAACUUACCAUGUCUCAAAGGGAGAGAUUUCUCUUCUUCUCCUACCCUAAAACUGCUCCUCUGUUAACAUCUCCCUUCUCAGUCGAAGGUAAUAUCAUCCUUUCUACUUUGAAGCCAACAACUUUGGUGUUGUUCUUGAUUCCUUUCUUUUUCUUUUGUCCCCCCUUCCAACCUGCCAGUAAAGUCAGUUGUUUUCACCUUCAAAACACAUUCAGCCCUCUCUCACUGCCUCCACUGCUACCACCUGGUCUGAGAGACCAUUUUUUUCCCCACCAGGAUCAUUACACAAGUCUGGGACCUGGACUCCCUGCUUCUACCCUUAACUUCACACACAGCAACCUGAGUAAUCUUUCAGAAUAUAACUCAGAUCAUACAACUCUGCUCAGAAUCCUCUAAUGCCUCAUUUAACUCUUGAGUAAAAACUAAAAUCCUUACAAAAGUCCUUACACUCUUAAGCAAUCUCUCCUCUCACACCCUUACUUUUCAGAACAAUUCCCCUACUAUUUAUCUUCCCUCUCAAUUCACUCUUCUCCAAUGUCUGGUCUGUUUGCUGUUUGUGAAAGACAGACAUAUUCUCUUUAAGAAAUCACCUUCUCUCCCCCAGAUAUAUGUAAGGCUAACUCCCAUACCACCUCUAAGUCUGUGCUUCAAUGUCACCUUAUCAAGGGCCCUUAACCACCCUACUUAAAAAUGCUAUUCAGGAAGACUGGGUGGCUCAGUUGGUUGAAGCCUCCCACUCUUGGUUUCUGCUCAAGUCAUGAUCUCACAGUUUGUGAUUUAGAGCCAUGCAUCGGGCUCCGUGUUGUCCAUAAGAAGCCUGCUUGGGAUUCUCUCUCCCUCUGUCUCUGUCCCUCCCCUGCUUACACACACACACACACACACACACUCUAAAAAAAUAAAUAAACUUAAAAAAAAAAACAACUUUAAAAAUUCUAUUCAUAGCUGCCCUUCAUUCUCCUUCCUCUUCUAUUUUCUUCCUCUCUGCUAUAAGAUCCCAUGGAUCUUAUCACCUUAACCGUCUGCAUAAUUUACAUUCUUCUUAUAUUUACUCUCUGUCUCUCUCUCUUUUUGGCCUGCUGUAUUCUCAGAUGACUCCACAAAGUCUGCACAUAAGUGUCUAGCAAAUAAGUACUCAAGACAUGAUUGCUGAAUAAGGCUCCCCAAUGAAAGGCCCAACUGCCACUACACAAUACUGCUGAGAUGUCAAGGUCACGGACUGAUUUGGGCUCCAGGCCAGCUCUUACCAGCUUCUAGCUAAACUGCAUCUGCACUCUGGUCAUCCAUGAGGCCUAAUUUGGGCGGGGGAGGGGGAGGGAGCUGAUGCAGACAACCCCUUUCCCUAUCUGGUAAGUGCUGGUGAUCUAACCCCUCUUUAUCCGUGGGGGACUUCAAUCCUUCCUUCUAACGCUUCCUCCCCGGAAUCCGCACCCCUCAUUGACCCCAGCCCGCUGCCUCUCUCACAGAGUCUCCAAUGGCUGAGGCCCUUGACCGCAAAGCGGGGUGGGUGCUGGCCGCCCUGGGUGAGUCUCCCCGACCGCGGGUGUAAAUGCGCCUUACUGCCAGCAGUGGGCAGGAGCCGCCGCGCAAUCCAGUGCUGGACGCUCGCCAAGCUCCGGCCUGGCCCAUUUCUGCGCGGGUUCCCCGCUCUGUCCCCAAAUCCCGCCUUCUUCCAGGGCGGUGGUGACGCGGUGCUGGGCGUUUAUUCCGGAAAGCUAUGCUCCCACCCUGGGAUGCUGUGCUUCGGGUUCCCGGGGCGCUCAAACAGCACUCCUGUCCACAGGGACUGUAGCGAUAACACGGUGUAGGUUAAUUUAAUUACAGUGAAUGGAAUAAGAUUGUAAUUAACCUAGAUUCAAAAGACAUUUGGUUGCUAGGCUUUUCAUGGUCUUUUGGUCAGCAAGGUGGCCCCAGGCCUGCCUUCUUGUACAGAAGCUUUUAAAUGUCUCCUCCAAACACCAUUGAACAAAAGCAUUGACCCCUUUGAUAAAGUUUCUGGAAUGACAAAUGAAAGGACCGAGCCUUUCUUCUUUUCCUAGACUAUAACAAGUUCUUUCCUUACCCCGAGAGUGGAGAAAGAGUGCUCAGAUGGAAUUAUGGAGAGGCCUGUCUGAAGAGGGAUGAUACUUAGUGUUUUCCUAAGAAAUUGAAAAAUUGUAUUCAGGUGAAGUUGACCCAUUGCCUAUUGAGCACAUGGAGGCAUUAACUGAGACCUAAAGGCUCACAGGGAACUAAUUAUGUAAACAGGUUCUGUAAAUGAAAUUACUAUACAGGUUUUGUAGUACAGUGAUGAAGAGUGUAGAUUUUGAACAGCCUUGUCCAGGUACCAGUCCUGACUCCUUCUAUACAAUACUUAUCAUAAGAGUUGGUCAGAGGCACCUGGGUGGCUCAGUCAGUUAAGUGCCUGAUUCUUGGUUUCAACUCAGGUCAUGAUCUCAUAGUUUGUGGGUUUGAGCCCUGUGUCGGGCUCUGUGCUGCCAGCACUGAGUGUGCUUGAGACUCCCUUUCUCUCCCUCUCUUUGCCCUCCCCAGCUCUUGUCCUCUCUCUCUCUCUCUCUCUCUCUCAAAAUAAAUAAAUAAACUUAAAAAGAAAGAGUUGGUCAGUUACUUAUCAUGCCUAUGUCAUCUAAUCUGGAAAAUAUUGAUAGCAAUAAUAUACACAUAACAGGUUUGCAGGGGAAAUUUAAUAUGGUAAAAUGUGUGUGUGUGCGUGUGUGUGUAAAAUAUGUAGCAGAAAACAUUACAAGGUAAAAGGUGAUCUUACUAAGGAACAUCGAUCCUAUUUAUCAGGGUAGCAAUGUGGUAUCCAGUACUGCUGUGACCCUUCUGUGAUGUUUACAAUGAAAGAGAACAUGCUCAUUUGUUUUCCUUACUCCCAAAGGCAUUCGAACUGGGACUCAGGGUUUCAUGUCUUUUUGAGUGAGUCCUGCAUAGAUGGACGGCAACUCCUACGGAUGAGGCCUUAUUUCUCAGAGACACUUACCCAAACUGAAAUAGAGGAAAUCACCUUUUAACAUCUUGCUUUACUCAUAAAAUCAGAGCAAAGAGACAUAGGUGAUCACAAGAAUUACAUCUUGUAUCAGUUCAGUGGUGAAUCUGAGGAAGUGUCUCUGCAAACAAUUAGAGCACCUUUUCCUAAUGGUUACAAAUCAGGAUGUGCAUGAUUUAGUAUCUCUUUUGUAUAGAAUUUGAUAAAUAUGGCCAAACUAUUGACCUUGGGCUUCAUUAUUUUCUACUGUCCUUGGGUCCUUUACUCUUCUCUGUAAGCAUUUUUCAAGGUAUUUAUUUAUUAUUUAUGUAUUUAUGUAUGUAUGUAUUUUUAAAAAUUUUUAACGUUUUUAUUCAUUUUUGAGAGAUAGAGAGAGACAGAACACUAGUGGGGUAAGGGCAGAGAGAGGAAGACACAGAAUCCGAAGCAGGCUCCAGGCUCUGAGCUGUCAGCACAGAGCCCAACACGGGGCUCGAACCCACAAACUGUGAGUUCAUGACCUGAGCCAAAAUUGGACGCUUAACUGUCUGAGCCACCCGGGCACCCCUCAAGGUGGAGUUUUUAAAAUGACAACUCUCGAUAUGGCUGUACUGUAUGUGUACACAUUGAAAUGUGUAUAACAGAUGGGAAAUGAGCUGAUUGAUGUUAGUAGGUAAAUAUAAAAGUAUUCACUGUCAUGUAUUAUGUAAUUAACACACACUUUCAUGAUAUACUAAUAAUUAUAUACACAUAAUUUCAUGUAUACUAUUGCUUAGGGCCAAGUUGUGUAAAAGCAUGAGUUCAUAAAAUGGAUAAUGUUAAUUAGUAGUACAGGUGGAAUGGAGCUGUGGCCGGGUGACUGAUGUCUAGAGAGCCCUGAGAUAAGCAGUUGGGCUUGUGUAAGUCGAUACUCUAUUUGCUUGAAUUUCUCAGUUUGUGCUAAUCCACUUAUUUCAUUACUGCUGAAAUUUUUAGGAAAUGAGGCUUUUCCUUCAGAGGGAGACUUGGCUUCUUACCCUGUUCUUCCUCCGAAGCCAAGAUAAUUUCCUGCACAAAGCAUCAUUCCUUCUUCCAUCUCUGUCUACUCAUCUCACAUCUCACAUCUCACAUGUAAGAGGGACAAGCUUGGUUGUCUAUUAAAGUAUGUAGGCUUUUUAAAAAGUUUAGAAUUUGUUUCCUGAAUUCCACAUAUGAGUGAAAUUAUAUGGUAUUUGUCUUUCUCUGAUUGACUUAUUUCGCUUAGCAUAGUACACUCUGGCUUCAUCCACGUUGGUGCACGUGGCAAGAUUUCAUUCUUUUAUAUGGCUGAGAGAUAUUCCAUUGUGUAUAUGUAUAUAUAUGUAUAUAUGUAUGUAUAUAUAUGUGUAUAUGUAUAUAUACAUAUAUGUAUGUAUAUAUGUAUAUAUACAUAUAUGUGUGUAUAUAUGUGUGUGUGUAUAUAUAUAUAUACAUAUAUAUGUAUAUAUGUGUGUAUAUAUAUGUGUGUGUAUAUAUAUAUACCACUUUUUCUUUAUAAAAGAAAACAAAUGAACAUAGUGUGGGGGAAGAGAGGCAAACCAAGAAACAGACUCUUAACUACGGAGAACAAACUGAGGGUUACCAAAGGGGAGGUGGGUAGGGGGAUGGGGGAAAUAAGGGGUGGGUAUUAAGGAAGUCACUCGCUGUGAUGAGCACUGGGUGUUGUAUGUAAGUGAUACUACAUAUGAAACUAAUUGCACUGUAUGUUAACUAGUUGGAAUUUAAGUAAAAACUUGGGGGGAAAAAGAUUAGAGUUUGACUCAUAGCUUUGCUAUUCACCAACCUCAUGACCUCAGACAGGAGCUCACUCUUUCUUUUCUACCAGAAAAACAGUAAAAUUCUUUAUGAUAUUUAAUAAAUUUGACAUAUAUGACAUAUAUGACAUAAAUAUGACAUAAUAAAUUUGAUGGUAGGUCAAACAGGUAAAAGGUAAAAGGUAAAAAGGUAAGAAAGGGUAAAAGGUAAAAGGUAAAAAAAGGUAAAAGUCAAUAUCAUCUCUAGAAAAGUGAAGGAGGGGGUUACCGACAAGAUAGCAUUGUUGUAAGGCUUGAUAAAAAUGUCUAGAAUGGAAUACCCAUAUGGUGUUGGGUUCCUUCAUUUCCAAUGCUUAAUGGGAAAUUAUGCUGUAUAUAAAUGAUGAAUGAAGCCAAGAUAUGUUAGGAUAUAUAGUACCUGUCAAAGUUUCCUCCUGGGUGUAGUGUUCUGGGUCUCUUCAUUGCUUAUUAGACCAAAGGUAGGUGAAGGGAAGAGACUUUAUCAGAGACAGCUGAGGACAGAAACAUUCACGUCUGCUGAUUGAGAGGCAUCUCCAGUGCAUUUGCUGGCUGGUCUCAGAGGUUUGGCAACAUCCUGUAGUCUUUUGUGCUGAUCUUUUCUCUUGUUCAAUUAAAUGACAGUUCUGAGUGACAGGCCUUGGCAUCUUCUCUGUAAUAAAAUCAGCUUAAAAAUGGUUUGCAUCAUCUUAAAAUAAUGAUGUGAUCUGUAUAUAAGAAUAAUUUUGUUUCAAAUAAUCAUACCUUUUCUGCACAAAUUCAUAAUGAUUCUGGAAAAUCAGAUUUACAUAGACAAAUAGUACACAUCUACCAAAUUUCCCAUAUGGCUUCUACUAUGUGCGCGCGCGCACACACACACACACCAGACUCCUUAAUCAGAGUAUUCAAUUUCUUUUCUUACUUAAAAAAAUUUUUUUUUACAUUUAUUUAUUUUUUGAGCGACAGAGAGAGACAGAGCACAAGUUUGGGAGGGGCAGAGAGAGAAGGAGACACAGAAUCCAAAGCAGGCUCCAGGCUCCCAGCUGUCAGCACAGAGCCUGGAGCCCGAAGUGGGGCUUGAACUCACAAACUGUGAGAUCAUGACCUGAGCCGAAGUCAGAAGCUCAACCGACUGAGCCACACAGGCGCCCCUCUUUCUUUCUUUUUUUUUUUUUUUUAAGUUUAUUUACUCAUUUUGAGAGAGAGAAAGAGAAAGGCAGAGAGAAAGGGAGAGAAAGAAUCCCAAGCAGGCCCUGUGCUGUCAGCUUAAUCUCACAAACUGUGAGAUCAUGAUCUGAGCCAAAAUCAAGAGACUGAGGCACCCAGGCACCCUUCUUCUCUUUCUCCCUCUCCCUCUCCCUCUCCCCCUCUCUCCCCUCCUUCUCCCUCUUCUUUUUCUUCUUUGAGAGAGAGAGAGAGAGAGAGAGAGAGAGAGAGCGAGAGUGAGCGCACCAGCAGGGGAGAAGGGCAGAGGAAGAGAGAGAAUCUUAAGCAGUCUCCACACUUAGUGUGGAGCCUGAUGUAGGGCUUGAUCCCACAACCCUGGGAUCAUGACCAUCUAGGUGCCCCUGGAGUAUUUAAUUUCUAAAUAAAGUCUGAGCUGAAAAGAACUCCUAAAGACAUUUGUACCAAAUCUCUCAGUUUCCAGCUGAGGAGCAGCAAAGGUAGAGUGAUAUGUCAAGCUCAUUAAAAAAAAAAGUAAUGAUAGAACUGGUUAUUUAAAAACAUGUUUUCUUGCUCUGAGGAUCUAUUAGUACUAUGUGGCAAUCCCUAAAUGGAUGGGUCUGUCUAAUCUGUAGAGAUCUCUGAGAGAACCCGCAAGGCCAGGGAAGUGAGUUGGAGGGAAAAAAGAAGGGGGAGAUAGAGAUGGAUGUGUGACCAGGCAGGAGGACCUCAUGGAAUAAGUUGCUCCUAUAAGUGUUUGGAGGGGUGAGGAGAGAUGGAGACAGGUGUGGGGAAUGGGAAGUGCUGAGGGCCUGGGGUCUGGUCAAGGAGAGAAGAGUAUCUUGGGAAACAAAUGCAGGUGCCCUACUCUCUGUGUCCUCCCUCCCUCUUCUGGGACAGAGACAUGAGGCAGAUUAAGCAAACAUAUUAACCUUACUUCCUGUUAAUGUUUAUUUUUUUGCGAGAGAGAGAGCAAGCAGGGGAGGGGAAGAGAGAGAGAGAUAGAAAGAGAAAGAGAGAGAAUCUCUGUACUGGUGGCGCAGAGCCUGAUGUGGGGCUUGAACUCACAAAAUGCAAGGUCAUGACCUGAGCCAAGAGUCAGAUGCUCAACUAACUGAGCCACCCAGGUGUCCUGCAAACAUAUUUACCUUGAGCUAAAUCUCCUUAUAAAUUUUUGUUGAUUAAGCUAAAUGUUGUCCAGUGACUGCCACUAAUCACAGCUACUAAUUUUAGGUAAUGUGCUUUUUCCUCUUGGGUGUCUUCAGAGGGCUAGGUUAGUCUCACGCUACAAAGGCAACUUUCUUCUCAAUAUGAAGACAAGUGUUUUCAUGGAGAACAAAUCUCUAAACAUUUCCUUGUCCUGCUGCCUGGUGCAUAUCCUCUUCAGAAAGUUAAGGUCAGAUAAAGGACACUGGUUUGAGUCAAAGCUCUACUACUUCUGAAUAAUGAGACCCUGUACAUACUAUUUAGCCAAGUGGAACACACCAGAAGAUUGGACACUUUAAGCCCAAUGGCCAGAUAUGCAGGGCCACGAACACACCAAAUUGUGAGAGCUGUAAAUAAGAACUGUUGUGCAACUUAAACAAAAGUAACUGAGCAAAGUAAAGUUCAAAAAGAGGAAGUGCUCUGUUCUUGGCCAUGAUAAAGUAGAUAGAAGUUAAAGGAUGUUGAAAUCUAGGCAUUCCAUCUCAACUCAAGUUUGUCAGAUUGCCUAAUUGCUUUUGUCCUGUUGCCUAAUUGCACAAAAGGCUUUUGAGACCCAUCUGCCUGGGAAACCUAUUAAGAGCCAUGAAACCUGCUUACACUAUAACUUGUUGAUUGACUGUAUGUGCACCUCCUGCCACUUCAUUAGCAAGGUCCCUAAGCUAGCUAGUUUUGGAGUUCUGGGAAGUCAUAUGUACUAAUUCCAUCCUUUGCCUUCCUGAAAUGCAGACCCAAGUCUCAGGCAGCUUCUUCUGUAAUGAGAACACUCACCGUUUUAACUGUGGAGACAAAAACAAUGCAAUCUUUACAUAAAAGUGACUAAUAUUUUUUUUGCCUGAAUAAACUAACAAUCACUUUUAAGAACAGUUGGCCUUAAUUAGAUGAACAGUUCUCAAAUGGAAACCCGAUUUACAAACAAAAUAUUUCUCCUUACCUGAACAUAUAUGAACUAACAUGCACACAUACACAAAUCCCAUGUGGGCUGAUGCACACAAGUAAUGCUCAAUUAGGGAGUGAAAGAAUGGCAGAGCGGAAAAUCUUUAGUCUAUAACCUUCAUUUUAGAGCUAACAAGUGGAGGAUGAGGUGAUUUGCCUGCCUCCCAUAGCAAGCUUGUGACAGACAGGCACCAAACGGCAGGUUCCUCUCUUCAUGCUUGCGAUGUCAUCGGCACUCUGUCUGAUGCUGGUAAACAUUCUAGAUGUGAAGUAGUAAACGUGAAAUUAGUCCAUCUAGGCAAUGUGUUUAAGAUCAUUACAGACUUUUUCCAUGUGGCCUUCAUCCUGAGGUCUGGGAAGAAAAUAUCUACAAUGUCAUUUUUUCAGGAUUAGAGGAAAGAGAGAGGCGGUGGAGGUUCCAUUUUUGCUAGGCAUAUCCACUCUUGAGAGGGACAUAUCUAUUUCUGUGGAUGUCAUCUGCUCGGCAAAAACUCUUCCCUGGGACUCCCAGCUAUGAAAAAAAGGAGUUAGAAUAUUAAACUCAGAGACAGGAACCUGACACCCAGGCAGUGCUCAGAAACCCUGAACAUCAGUUGGAAAGUUUCCUGAUGAUGGACCCUAUCCAAGGAAGAGUUGGGGAUCCUUAUUUUGAGGCAAAGAAAUAUGUGGGGGAAACAUGAAGUCUACUCCCUUAGAAUUGAAAUGCUCACAUUUUCUUUUUUUUUAAGUUUAUUUUAUUUAUUUUGAGAGAGGCAGAGAGAGAAUCCCAAAGGUUCCACACUGUCAGCUCAGAGACUGAUGUGGGGCUUGAACUCACGAACCAUGAGAUUCUGACCUGAACAGAAACUUAAGAGUUGGUUGCUUAACUGACUGAGCCACUCAGAUGCCCCACAUUUUCUUUUCAAUAGCAUUUAAAACAGGCAUGUGUAGGGGUGCCUGGGUGGCUCAGUAGGUUAAGCGUCCAACUCUUGGUUUCAGCUUAGGUCAUGACCUCAUGAUCCAUUGGAUGGAGUCCUGAGCUGGGCUCUGUGGCUGACAGUGUGGAGCCUGCUUGGGAUUCUCUCUCACUCUCUCUCUGCCCUUUCACACCCUGCACACACUAUCUCUUUCUCAAAAUAAAUAAACAUUAAAAAAAUAAAACAGGCAUAUGUAUUUAAAGAAGUGUGUGUGUGUGUGUGUGUGUGUGUGUGUGUGUGUGUGUAUUUCAGGAAGUGUAAACAUUUUUUAUGAUGCAAGGCAUAUGGUUUGUCAAUUCCGUUCUGAGCUAGCAGGGACACCCACUUCCCUCACAGGCUAGGAAUCAUGUGGCUGAUAGAUGCAAACACUUUAGAGAUGUAAAAUUUUAGGUUAACUGGACUGCUCAAUUAAGGAGCAAGAAUCUACUUUGGGGUUGGGAAAUAACCUUGUAUGACAGUCCCAUACAGGGGUGAGUAGGUGGUAGGCAUCUCCUUUAUUGACAAGUCCUUCUCUCUUACUCAGAGAAAUGAAGGGAUGUGAGGUAGAAGAAGGAUGUGAGGACAGUAGUUGCUGUGAGUACAAGAAGAGUGAGUGUAGAUAGGUCAGGAGAAGAGAAUUUAUGACAUUAAGUAUUUGGGGCAAGGAAUUCUUAGAAAUAGGUACUUAGGAGGAAGGGGACCAUGGCCCACUCUCUGACCCCACUCUUCUUGACCUGUUUUCACAGGGAGCGUGAAUCUGAUGUGGACCUUCCUCCACCUUCUCUUCCUGGAGCAAACUCUUCACCCCAGGCCUGCUCUCCUCUACAAAACAUACAGACAACACCAGGUCCUGGGUCCCUGGAGGAUACCACCGAUACUGUGAGGUGAUGGUGAAGUGAUGGUGGCUGAUGCACAGGGGUAAAUGCAAGAUGAUCAACACCUUCAUUCAUGAGGAUGUGGCCACGUUGGCAUAUUUCUGCAGAAUUCCACUUCUGCCCUCUACCAACAGCUGCUGCGUGCACAACGGUCACAAAGGUACUCACGAUGUCAGUGUGCUUUGCUGCAUAGGAACCAGACCCCUGCACUGCUAUUACC
rnacentral:lncRNA from 1 species